AACGAACGCUGGCGGCAUGCCUAACACAUGCAAGUCGAACGAGACCUUCGUGUCUAGUUGCUCACGGGUGCGUAACGCGUGGGAACCUUCCCUUAGGUUCGGAAUACCUCCCCUACGUGGGUGCUAAUACCGGAUAAUUUCUUCUGACCAAAGAUUUAUCCACUUUGGAUGGGCCCGCGUUGGAUUAGCUAGUGGGUAUUGUAAAAGCCUAUCACGGCUACGAUACAUAGCUGGUCUGAGAGGAUGAUCAGCCACACUGGGACUGAGACACGGCCCAGAAUACUACGGGAGGGAGGAGUGGGGAAUAUUGGAAAACGGGCGAAAGCCAGAACCAGCAAUGGCGCGUGAGUGAUGAAGGUCGGAGGGUAGAAAAGCAGUUUUACACGGGAUGAUAAUGACAGUACCGGGAGAAUAAGCACCGGCUAACUCCGUG
rnacentral:rRNA from 1 species